rnacentral:lncRNA from 1 species
UUGCACUGGGCUGUCACCCUCACUUGGUGUGCAGGCAGGGCCCAGGUCAGGGACGUGUGACCAUCCAUGCUCACCCUGAUUCUGCUGCUGAGGCAGAGCUUAGAGCACUAGGCUCUAAGGCUACCAUGCCCCAGGCCCUGUGACCAGCAUGGCCACUUCAUGGAUGUACUGCACCCAUGCCCACCCCUCUCCCUUACAGACUACCCCAAUAGCAUCUGGCUCACAACUGCCAUGGCCAGGGAAGACCCCAGAGUGUGAAUCACCUCCAACACCCCUACCUGCAAGCCCAGAAGUUCACCAAUGACCUGUGGGAGUCUGUGGAAGAAGUGUGGGAGAUGGAGAAGCAAUGGAUAGAACCACAGGGAGGAGGUUUCAUCCCUCAUGUCUCCUGGAUUCCCCAGGCCACCUGGGCUCCUGACUUGGCCUUUCUGUCUCUGACCGCAGGAGAGGUGCCUCUUGUCCUUUCUGGCCUCCACAGCCACUUGGAGGGACAGCAAUACCAGGACCUAUCUAGGACUCCACAUUGUGUGCAGUGGCGGGGACACCGCUGUCUCCUCCCAUCUGUGGCGGUCCGCUGUCUACCAGGAACACUG